rnacentral:rRNA from 2 species
UUGCUUCUCUGAUGUUAGCGGCGGACGGGUGAGUAACACGUGGGUAACCUACCUAUAAGACUGGGAUAACUCCGGGAAACCGGGGCUAAUACCGGAUAAUAUUUUGAACCGCAGGGUUCAAUAGUGAAAGACGGUUUCGGCUGUCACUUAUAGAUGGACCCGCGCCGUAUUAGCUAGUUGGUAAGGUAACGGCUUACCAAGGCGACGAUACGUAGCCGACCUGAGAGGGUGAUCGGCCACACUGGAACUGAGACACGGUCCAGACUCCUACGGGAGGCAGCAGUAGGGAAUCUUCCGCAAUGGGCGAAAGCCUGACGGAGCAACGCCGCGUGAGUGAUGAAGGUCUUCGGAUCGUAAAACUCUGUUGUUAGGGAAGAACAAAUUUGUUAGUAACUGAACAAGUCUUGACGGUACCUAACCAGAAAGCCACGGCUAACUACGUGCCAGCAGCCGCGGUAAUACGUAGGUGGCAAGCGUUAUCCGGAAUUAUUGGGCGUAAAGCGCGCGUAGGCGGUUUCUUAAGUCUGAUGUGAAAGCCCACGGCUCAACCGUGGAGGGUCAUUGGAAACUGGGAAACUUGAGUGCAGAAGAGGAGAGUGGAAUUCCAUGUGUAGCGGUGAAAUGCGCAGAGAUAUGGAGGAACACCAGUGGCGAAGGCGGCUCUCUGGUCUGUAACUGACGCUGAUGUGCGAAAGCGUGGGGAUCAAACAGGAUUAGAUACCCUGGUAGUCCACGCCGUAAACGAUGAGUGCUAAGUGUUAGGGGGUUUCCGCCCCUUAGUGCUGCAGCUAACGCA